UACGAAGGGGGCUAGCGUUGUUCGGAAUUACUGGGCGUAAAGGGCGCGUAGGCGGUGUGUCAAGUCAGGCGUGAAAGCCCCGGGCUCAACCUGGGAACCGCGCUUGAGACUGGCACGCUCGAGUUCGGGAGAGGAUGGUGGAAUUCCCAGUGUAGAGGUGAAAUUCGUAGAGAUGUGGAGGAAUACCGAUGGCGAAGGCAGCCCCCUGGGAUAACACUGACGCUCAUGCACGAAAGCGUGGGGAGCAAACAGG
rnacentral:rRNA from 1 species